rnacentral:rRNA from 1 species
AUACGUAGGUGACAAGCGUUAUCCGGAUUUACUGGGUGUAAAGGGCGUGUAGGCGGUUUAGCAAGUCAGAAGUGAAAUUCCCGGGCUUAACUUGGGCGCUGCUUCUGAAACUGCUUUACUUGAGUGCUGGAGAGGAUAGUGGAAUUCCUAGUGUAGCGGUAAAAUGCGCAGAUAUUAGGAGGAACACCGGUGGCGAAGGCGGCUAUCUUGACAGUAACUGACGCUGAGGCGCGAAAGCACGGGGAGCAAACAGGAGUAGAUGUCCUGGGAGUCCGGGCCGUAAACGAUGAAUACUAGGUGUAUGGGGUAUCGACUCCCGCUGUGCCGCAGUUAACACAUUAAGUAGUCCACCUGGGGAGUACGGCCGCAAGGUUGAAACUCAAAGGAAUUGGCGGAG